rnacentral:rRNA from 1 species
GUCCACGCCCUAAACGAUGUCUACUAGUUGUUGGUGGAGUGAAAUCCAUUAGUAACGCAGCUAACGCGUGAAGUAGACCGCCUGGGGAGUACGGUCGCAAGAUUAAAACUCAAAGGAAUUGACGGGGGCCCGCACAAGCGGUGGAUUAUGUGGAUUAAUUCGAUGCAACGCGAAAACCUUACCUGGCCUUGACAUGCCACUAACGAAGCAGAGAUGCAUUAGGUGCCCGAAAGGGAAGUGGACACAGGUGCUGCAUGGCUGUCGU